rnacentral:rRNA from 1 species
AGCAGCCGCGGUAAUUCCAGCUCCAAUAGCGUAUAUUAAAGUUGUUGCAGUUAAAAGCUCGUAGUUGAAUUUCGGGGUUCUACCGUCGGUCGGGCUACCAAGUCUGUACUGGUGUGUAGAAUUUCUACCUUCUGGGGAACCAUCAUGUUAUUAAUUUAGCGUGGUGGGAAACCAGGACCUUUACCUUGAAAAAUUAGAGUGUUCAAAGCAGGCUUAUGUCUGAAUACAUUAGCAUGGAAUAAUAGAAUAGGACGGUGGUCCUGUUUUGUUGGUUUCUGAAUCACCGUAAUGAUUAAUAGGGAUAGUUGGGGCAUUAGUAUUCAAUUGUCAGAGGUGAAAUUCUUGGAUUUAUUGAAGACUAACUUCUGCGAAAGCAUUUGCCAAGGAUGUUUUCAUUAAUCAAGAACGAAAGUUAGGGAUCGAAGACGAUCAGAUACCGUCGUAGUCUUA